AUUGAACGCUGGCGGCAGGCCUAACACAUGCAAGUCGAGCGAGCGGCGGACGGGUGAGUAAUGUAUGGGGAACUGCCCGAUGGAGGGGGAUAACUACUGGAAACGGUAGCUAAUACCGCAUACCAUCAGAUGCACCCAUAUGGGAUUAGCUUGUAGGUAAGGUAACGGCUAACCUAGGCGACGAUCCCUAGCUGGUCUGAGAGGAUGACCAGCCACACUGGAACUGAGACACGGCCCAGACUCCUACGGGAGGCAGCAGUGGGGAAUAUUGCACAAUGGGCGCAAGCCUGAUGCAGCCAUGCCGCGUGUAUGAAGAAGGCCUUCGGGUUGUAAAGUACUUUCAGUGGGGAGGCGUUACCGGCAGAAGAAGCACCGGCUAACUCCGUGCCAGCAGCCGCGGUAAUAC
rnacentral:rRNA from 1 species